AGUCAUGCAAAGAUUCUCUCUGGGCUGUUAGCUGUUUUGAGUUGAGAAUCUGUAGUUCUGGUAAACUGGGCUGAAGAAUCAGCUGUGACUAACGAGAGACCAGAACCCGUGGUUUUGCUGGGACAGUAGAUGUUGGUCAGCUGGGCCCGGAGACUCAGCUGUGAUUGAGACAGGAGCUUCACUCGGGUGAAGUCUGGGAAGUGUGUGCUCAGAGUCAGCCCAACUCAGUAGUGACCCAGGUGGUACCAGUUUUGGAGGCGUGAAAGGGUCAAGGAACGCAGCAAGGCUUGGCACAUAAGGCGGGGCUGGAUGGCUAAGGAGAGCCCAGUAGAGGCUUUGCUGAAAGUGCAACCGGUUGCAGUAAGAGAUGCCAGCACCAUGGGAUGACCACCAAGAACAGCAGAAGCAGUGGAGUGGAGGCAGCCCAGUGUCAUGAGACGAGCUGUGUGAGCUGCAGAGGGCAGACCAGAGACGUGACCCAGACCCCAGGGAGGAGCCUAGAAUAUGGAGAGCCCCAGGAUUUUUACAUAGAGAAAGGAAAGAAGAUAUGAAGAAAGCAAGAGGUGCUGAAAACCCCUUGGGAAGCCAAACCUUCCGCCUCCUGCGUCUGAAGGAAGAACCCUGAAAGUACAGAGGCAGAGACAGUUGGGAAACAUGGCAGCAGAGCACUGGGAGACGGCGUCUUUAACCCCCCCCCCCCCACAGGAAGCAGAGUGAGACAGCUGGAAUGGAGGGAGACUAUGGACCCACAAGGCCAACUCGCAGGGAUGUACUUCCUGUAGCAAAGGUGAGCCAAGUGCCCCAAGCAGCACCACCACCCUCUGAGGACCAAGUGUUUAGAUACCAGAUACCGGAGCCUACGGGACACAUUCACCUUUCAAACCACAACCAUCUUGCAACUGAGGAAAGAUGUUAAGAAAGUGAUCUCAGCUCAGAUCAGCGCGGAUUUAUAAGGCUAGUA